rnacentral:misc_RNA from 1 species
GAUGAAGAACGCAGCGAAAUGCGAUAAGUAAUGUGAAUUGCAGAAUUCAGUGAAUCAUCGAAUCUUUGAACGCACCUUGCGCCCUUUGGCCAUUCCGAAGGGCAUGCCUGUUUGAGUAUCAUGAACACCUCAACUCUUCAUGGAUUUCCAUGAUGAGCUUGGACUUUGGGGGUCUUGCCGGCCUAUGGUCGGCUCCUCUAAAAUAAAUCAGCUUACCGGUGUUUGGUGGGUAUCAUGGGUGUGAUAACUAUCUACGCUUGUGGUUUUUCCACCAGGUAACCUUCGACAGCGGAGGUUCACUGGAGCUCAUAGAUGUCUCUCCUCAGCGAGGACAGCCCUUUGAAUGUUUGAUCUCAAAUCAGGUAGGACUACCCGCUGAACUUAAGCAUAUCAAUAAGCGGAGGA